AACGCCUGUGUGAGGAGCGGGGUAUGCUUAAGGGUACCACAACAAAGAUGGCGGCUCGGCCGGGAGUGGCUUCUGCCGGUACCAAAGAUUGCGGAGAGGAAAUGCAGGAGAAACGGCUGCUGGCAUUCUGGGCUUGCCAGGCAGGUUUUGUACUUGAUUGCAAGGCAGUUUUCCUGCCUCUGCAGGGGGUGAGAACUGGAAAGGGGAGAAAAAAAAAAAGGUCACUUUUACGCCACACCCAAGAUGGCGGCUGAGGGCGGCACUCACUUGCCCUUCCAAUGAUGGCGGCAGUGUGCUCAUGCGCCUUGGGUAGGGAGAAGGGAGGGCGGUACGGGAAAUACCCCGCUCGGUCUCAUGGAAAAGUGCUUUCUCCUGGGUCUGGGCGGCGUUGAGGUCACAACGAGUUCCAAAUUAUCCUUGUGCCUCUCCUGUUGUGACUAAGUCGGCGUUCCCUGAGUGGCUGCAGCUCCCUGCCUGUGGAGGGAAGAAGCCUGUGCUGGAGAAUGGGAGGAAGGUCCCUGCUGGUUGCUGUGUCCUCGGUGGGCACAGCACUCUGGCCAGAUGGCUUGGACAGGGAGAAGCACUGAACUCGUCCUGGCCUUGCCAAGGUGUUGGAGCUGCCAAACCCAAACUGGUCCUGAUGAUGGAGGACUUAAGAAAUUACUCACUCCAACCAAAUGCUUUAAAAAGGGAGAUGGUUUGGUUAUAAAAAUAUUUCUGCCUGAGACUGGGAAGAGUUAAACCCCCCAAUUCUGCACAACAGCACAAGGAUUUUUAAA